GUCAUGCUCCCUCCGUCUCAUAUUAAGUGACUCAAAUUUGCCCAAAUAUGAAUGUAUCUAUACCUAAAAAUGUUUAGAUACAUCUAAUAUUUCGGCACUUAAUAUGGAACGGAGGGAGUAUUUU
rnacentral:pre_miRNA from 1 species